rnacentral:pre_miRNA from 1 species
AGAGGAAUAGCUGGGUCAAAUGGUGGUUCCAUUCUCAGCUUUCCAAGGAAUCUCCAUACUGCUUACCAAAUUGGCUGCACAAAUUUGCAGUCCCACCGGCAGU